UACGAAGGGGGCUAGCGUUGCUCGGAAUCACUGGGCGUAAAGGGUGCGUAGGCGGCGGGGUAAGUCUGAUGUGAAAUCCUGGGGCUCAACCCCAGAACUGCAUUGGAUACUGCCUUGCUAGAGUACUGGAGAGGAAACUGGAAUUUACGGUGUAGCAGUGAAAUGCGUAGAGAUCGUAAGGAAGACCAGUGGCGAAGGCGAGGUUUCUGGACAGUAACUGACCGGCUGAGCACGAAGGCCAGGGAGCAAACGGG
rnacentral:rRNA from 1 species